UUUCCGUGGGUGAACCUGCGGAAGGAUCAUUAUUGUAUAACCGAGGUGCGAGGGCUGUCGCUGACCCGAAAGGUCGUGCACGCCCGAGUGCCCUCACACAUCCAUCUCACCCCUAUGUGCACCACCGCGUGGGUCCCCCUUUGGCUUGUUCGGAGGGGGGCUUACGUUUUCACACAAACUUUGUAUGCAGUGUAGAAUGUAUUUUUUGUUUUUGCGAUCACGCAAUCAAUACAACUUUCAACAACGGAUCUCUUGGCUCUC
rnacentral:misc_RNA from 1 species